rnacentral:rRNA from 1 species
CCUACGGGGGGCAGCAGUGAGGAAUAUUGGUCAAUGGGCGAGAGCCUGAACCAGCCAAGUAGCGUGAAGGAUGACUGCCCUAUGGGUUGUAAACUUCUUUUAUAAAGGAAUAAAGUCGGGUAUGGAUACCCGUUUGCAUGUACUUUAUGAAUAAGGAUCGGCUAACUCCGUGCCAGCAGCCGCGGUAAUACGGAGGAUCCGAGCGUUAUCCGGAUUUAUUGGGUUUAAAGGGAGCGUAGGCGGGUUGUUAAGUCAGUUGUGAAAGUUUGCGGCUCAACCGUAAAAUUGCAGUUGAUACUGGCGACCUUGAGUGCAACAGAGGUAGGCGGAAUUCGUGGUGUAGCGGUGAAAUGCUUAGAUAUCACGAAGAACUCCGAUUGCGAAGGCAGCCUGCUGUAGCGCAACUGACGCUGAAGCUCGAAAG